CUACGGGGUGCACCAGUGAGGAAUUUUGCGCAAUGGGGGGAACCCUGACGCAGCAACGCCGCGUGAGUGAUGAAGGCUUUCGGGUCGUAAAGCUCUGUCAAGUGGGAAGAACCUAUGCAGUGUUAAUAUCACUGUAUAAUGACGGUACCACUGAAGGAAGCACCGGCUAACUCCGUGCCAGCAGCCGCGGUAAUACGGGGGGUGCAAGCGUUAUUCGGAAUCAUUGGGCGUAAAGGGCACGUAGGCGGCUUGGUAAGUCAGAUGUGAAAGCCCGGGGCUUAACCCCGGAAGUGCAUUUGGUACUGUCAGGCUUGAGUAUGGGAGAGGGAAGUGGAAUUCCUGGUGUAGAGGUGAAAUUCGUAGAUAUCAGGAGGAACACCGGUGGCGAAGGCGACUUCCUGGACCAAUACUGACGCUGAGGUGCGAAGGCGUGGGUAGCAAACAGGAUUAGAUACCCCGGUAGUC
rnacentral:rRNA from 1 species